rnacentral:rRNA from 1 species
AGCGAACGCUGGCGGCAGGCCUAACACAUGCAAGUCGAACGAACUCUUCGGAGUUAGUGGCGGACGGGUGAGUAACACGUGGGAACGUGCCUUUAGGUUCGGAAUAACUCAGGGAAACUUGUGCUAAUACCGAAUGUGCCCUUCGGGGGAAAGAUUUAUCGCCUUUAGAGCGGCCCGCGUCUGAUUAGCUAGUUGGUGAGGUAAAGGUUCACCAAGGCGACGGUCAGUAGCUGGUCUGAGAGGAUGAUCAGCCACAUUGGGACUGAGACACGGCCCAAACUCCUACGGGAGGCAGCAGUGGGGAAUCUUGCGCAAUGGGCGAAAGCCUGACGCAGCCAUGCCGCGUGAAUGAUGAAGGUCUUAGGAUUGUAAAAUUCUUUCACCGGGGACGAUAAUGACGGUACCCGGAGAAGAAGCCCCGGCUAACUUCGUGCCAGCAGCCGCCGUAA